rnacentral:rRNA from 1 species
UACGUAGGGUGCAAGCGUUGUCCGGAAUUAUUGGGCGUAAAGAGCUCGUAGGCGGUCUGUUGCGUCGGCUGUGAAAACUCGGGGCUCAACUCCGAGCUUGCAGUCGAUACGGGCAGGCUAGAGUUCGGCAGGGGAGACUGGAAUUCCUGGUGUAGCGGUGAAAUGCGCAGAUAUCAGGGGGAACACCGGUGGCGAAGGCGGCUCACUGGCCCGGUACUGACGCUGAGGUGCGAAAGCGUGGGGAGCAAACAGG